AUUGAACGCUGGCGGCAUGCCUUACACAUGCAAGUCGAACGGCAGCACGGGAGCAAUCCUGGUGGCGAGUGGCGAACGGGUGAGUAGUACAUCGGAACGUGCCUAGUAGUGGGGGAUAGCCCGGCGAAAGCCGGAUUAAUACCGCAUACGACCUGAGGGUGAAAGCGGGGGAUCGCAAGACCUCGCGCUAUCAGAGCGGCCGAUGCCAGAUUAGGUAGUUGGUGGGGUAAAAGCCUACCAAGCCGACGAUCUGUAGCUGGUCUGAGAGGACGACCAGCCACACUGGGACUGAGACACGGCCCAGACUCCUACGGGAGGCAGCAGUGGGGAAUUUUGGACAAUGGGCGCAAGCCUGAUCCAGCCAUGCCGCGUGCAGGAAGAAGGCCUUCGGGUUGUAAACUGCUUUUGUCAGGGAAGAAAAGUUCUGGGCUAAUACCCCGGAGCGAUGACGGUACCUGAAGAAUAAGCACCGGCUAACUACGUGCCAGCAGCCGCCGUAA
rnacentral:rRNA from 1 species